CACGUAGGGGGCGAGCGUUGUCCGGAUUUAUUGGGCGUAAAGAGCUCGUAGGCGGCUCAGUAAGUCAGGUGUGAAAACUCCAGGCUCAACCUGGAGACGCCACCUGAUACUGCUGUGGCUAGAGUCCGGUAGGGGAGCAUGGAAUUCCUGGUGUAGCGGUGAAAUGCGCAGAUAUCAGGAGGAACACCAGUGGCGAAGGCGGUGCUCUGGGCCGGAACCGACGCUGAGGAGCGAAAGCGUGGGGAGCGAACAGG
rnacentral:rRNA from 1 species